rnacentral:ncRNA from 1 species
GAGUUUGAUCCUGGCUCAGGACGAACGCUGGCGGCGUGCUUAACACAUGCAAGUCGAACGAUGAAGCCCUUCGGGGUGGAUUAGUGGCGAACGGGUGAGUAACACGUGGGCAAUCUGCCCUGCACUCUGGGACAAGCCCUGGAAACGGGGUCUAAUACCGGAUACGAGCCGGGGAGGCAUCUCCCCUGGUUGGAAAGCUCCGGCGGUGCAGGAUGAGCCCGCGGCCUAUCAGCUUGUUGGUGAGGUAACGGCUCACCAAGGCGACGACGGGUAGCCGGCCGUGAGAGGGCGACCGGCCACGACUGGGACUGAGACACGGCCCACGACUCCUACGGGAGGCAGCAGUGGGGAAUAUUGCACAAUGGGCGAAAGCCUGAUGCAGCGACGCCGCGUGAGGGAUGACGGCCUUCGGGUUGUAACCGUCUUUCANNNNNNNNNNNNNNNNNNNNGUGAGACGAGUCAGAACCGUUGAGU